rnacentral:lncRNA from 1 species
CAUCAGUUUGUUCCCUGUUUCUUCUCUAGCCUGAGCCUGACACACUAUUCUAGCUAGACAUGGGUGUGGCUCGUGACACCUAAUGACCAAACGGAUCUACGGCACCGUCGAAUCUCAAACUUUAACUACCGAAACUAUUGUUUUUCAUUCUAUAGUCCCUUUUAAAUUACUAAACGUCAUUUUUUGGGCCGUGAUUUCCAGGAACGCUUUCUCGGGGUUUGUGUGCAUGUAUUUCAAGUCAUACGGACCUAAAAAUUAGAAUCCAUUCCAUAUUUAUUCCCCUAGAGCCUUCCAGCAGUUCCUAAACCGCUCCAAUUGGAGCACGUUAUCAUUAUUGUUAGUUCUGAGUGAAUUCCCUCGGUAUGAUCAUUCUUUCAUCAGUUUGUUCCCCAUUUCUUCUCUAGUCUGAGCCUAACACACUAUUCUAGCUAGACAUGGGUGUGGGUCGUAACACCUGAUGACCAAAAGGAUCUACGGCACCGUCGAAUCUCAAACUUUAACUACGAAAACUAUUGUUUUUCAUUCUAUAGUCCCUUUUAGAAUUACUAAACGUCCUUUUUUGGGCCGAGACUUCCAGGAACGCUUUCUCGGGGUUUGUGUGCGCGUAUUUCAAACAAUACAGACCUAAAUAUUAGAAUUCAUUCCAUCUUUAUUCCCCUAGAGCCUUCCAGCAGUUCCUAAACUGCUCCAGUCGGAGCACGUUAUCAUUCUUGUUAGUUCUCAGGGAAUUCCCUCGGUAUGAUCAUUCUUUCAUCAGUUUGUUCCCCGUUUCUUCUCUAGCCCGAGCCUAACACACUAUUCUAGCUACACAUGGGUGUGGCUCAUAACACCUGAUGACCAAACGGAUCUACGGCACCGUCGAAUCUCAAACUUUAACUGCCAAAACUAUUGUUUUUCAUCCUGUAGUCCCUUGUAGAAUUACUAAACGUCCUUUUUUGGGCCGAGAUUUCGAGGAACGCUUUGUCGGGGUCUGUGUGCAUGUAUUUCAAACCAUACGGACCUAAAAAUUAGAAUUCAUUCUAUCUUUGUUCCCCUAGAGCCUUCCAGCAGUUCCUAAACCGCUCUAGUCAGAGCAUGUUAUCAUUCUUGUUAGUUCUGAGCGAAUUCCCUCGGUAUGAUCAUUCUUUCAUCAGUUUGUUCCCUAUUUCUUCUCUAGCCUGAGCCUGACACACUAUUCUAGCUAGACAUGGGUGUGGCUCGUGACACCUGAUGACCAAACGGAUCUACGACACCGUCGAAUCUCAAACUUUAACUACUAAAACUAUUGUUUUUCAUUCUAUAGUCCCUUUUAAAUUACUAAACGUCAUUUUUUUGUUCGAGAUUUGCAGGAACGCUUUCUUGGGGUUUGUGUGCAUGUAUUUCAAAUCAUACGGACCUAAAAAUUAGAAUCCAUUCCAUCUUUAUUCCCCUAGAGCCUUCCAGCAGUUCGUUAACCGCUCCAGUCGGAGCACGUUAUCAUUAUUGUUAGUUCUGAGUGAAUUCCCUCGGUAUGAUCAUUCUUUGAUCAGUUUGUUCCUCGUUUCUUCUCUAGUCUAAGCCUAACACACUAUUCUAGCUAGACAUGGGUGUGGCUCGUAACACCCGAUGACCAAACGGAUCUACGGCACCGUCGAAUCUCAAACUUUAACUGCGAAAACUAUUGUUUUUCAUCCCGUAGUCCUUUUUAGAAUUACUAAACAUCCUUUUUUGGGACGAGAUUUCCAGGAACGCUUUCUCGGGGUUUGUGUGCGCGUGUUUCAAACCAUACGGACCUUAAAAUUAGAAUUCAUUCCAUCUUUAUUCCCCUAGAGCCUUCCAGCAGUUCCUAAACCGCUCCAGUCGGAGCACGUUAUCAUUCUUGUUAGUUCUGAGCAAAUUCCCUCGGUAUGAUCAUUCUUUCAUCAGUUUGUUCCCUGUUUCUUCUCUAGUAUGAGCCUAGCACACUAUUCUAGCUAUUAAUGGGUGUGUAUCGUGACACCUAAUGACCAAACGGAUCUACGGCACCAUCGAAUAUCAAACUUUAACUGCCAAAACUAUUGUUUUUCAUACUGUAGUCCCUUUUACAAUUAUUGAACGUCCCUUUUUGGGCCGAUAUUUCUAGGAACGCUUUCUCGGGGUUUGUGUGCAUGUAUUUCAAACCAAACGUUCCUUAAAAUUUGAAAGCAUUCCAUGUUUAUUCCCCUAGAGCCUUCCAGCAGUUCCUAAACCGCUCCAGUCGGAGCACGUUAUCAUUCUUGUCAGUUCUGAGCGAAUUCCCUCGGUAUGAUCAUUUUUUCAUCAGUUUGUUCCCUAUUUCUUCACUAGUCUGAGCCUCGCACACUAUUCUAGCUAUUAAUGGGUGUGGAUCGUAACACCUGAUGACCAAACGGAUCUACGGCACCGUCGAAUCUCAAACUUUAAUUGCCAAAACUAUUGUUUUUCAUUCUGUAGUCCCUUUUAAAUUACUAAACGUCAUUUUUUGGGCUGAGAUAUCCAACAACGCUUUCUCGGGGUUUGUGUGCAUGUAUUUCAAACCAAACGUUCCUAAAAAUUAGAAGUCAUUCCAUCUUUAUUCCCCUAGAGCCUUCCAGCAGUUCCUAAACAGCUCUAGACGGAGCACGUUAUCAUUCUUGUUAGUUCUGAGCGAAUUCCCUCGGUAUGAUCAUUCUUUCAUCAGUUUGUUCUGCAUUCUUCUCUAGUCUGAGCCUCGCACACUAUUCUAGCUAUCAAUGGGUGUGGAUCAUAACACUAAUGACCAAACGGAUCUACGACACCAUCGAAUCUCAAACUUUAACAGCCAAAACUAUUGUUUUUCAUCCUGUAGUCCCUUUUAGAAUUACUAAACGUCCUUUUUUGGGCCGAGAUUUCCAGGAACGCUUUCUCGGGGUUUGUGUGCAUGUAUUUCAAACCAUAUGGACCUAAAAAUUAGAAGUCAUUCCAUCUUUAUUCCCCUAGAGCCUUCCAGCAGUUCCUAAACUGCUCUAGUCGGAGCAUGUUAUCAUUCUUGUUAGUUCUGAGUGAAUUCCCUCGGUAUGAUCAUUCUUUCAUCAGUUUGUUCCCCAUUUCUUCGCUAGUCUGAGCCUAGCACACUAUUCUAGAUAGACAUGGGUGUGGGUCUUAACACCUGAUGACCAAACGGAUCUACGGCACCCUCGAAUCUGAAACUUUAACUGCCAAAACUAUUGUUUUUCAUCUUGUAGUCCCUUUUAGAAUUACUAAACGUCCUUUUUUGGGACGAGAUUUCCAGAAUGCUUUCUCGGGGUUUGUGUGCAUGUAUUUCAAACCAAACGUUCCUAAAAAUUAAAAGUCAUUCCAUCUUUAUUCCCCUAGAGCCUUCCAGCAGUUCCUAAACAGCUCUAGUCGGAGCAUGUUAUCAUUCUUGUUAGUUCUGAGUGAAUUCCCUCGGUAUGAUCAUUCUUUCAUCAGUUUGUUCCCCGUUUCUUCUCUAGUCUGAGCCUAGCACACUACUCUAGCUAGACAUGGGUUUGGCUCGUAACACCUGAUAACCAAACGGGUCUACGACACCAUCGAAUCUCAAACUUUUUUGGGCCGAGAUUUCCAGGAACGCUUUCUCGNNNNNNNNNNUCGCUAGCCUAAGCCUGACACACUAUUCUAGCUACACAUGGGUGUGGCUCGUGACACCUAAUGACCAAACAGAUCUACGGCACCGUCGAAUCUCAAACUUUAACUACCAAAACUAUUGUUUUUCAUUCUGUAGUCCCUUUUAAAUUACUAAACGUCAUUUUUUGGGCCGAGAUUUCUAGGAACGCUUUCUCAGGGUUUGUGUGCAUGUAUUUCAAGUCAUAUGGACCUAAAAAUUAGAAUCCAUUCCAUCUUUAUUCCCCUAGAGCCUUCCAGCAGUUCCUAAACCGCUCCAGUCGGAGCACAUUAUCAUUAUUGUUAGUUCUGAGUGAAUUCCCUCGGUAUGAUCAUUCUUUCAUCAGUUUGUUCCCCGUUUCUGCUCUAGUCUGAGCUUAACACACUAUUCUAGCUAGACAUGGGUGUGGCUCGUAACACCUGAUGACCAAACGGAUCUACGAUACCGUCGAAUCUCAAACUUUAACUACGAAAACUAUUGUUUUUCAUUCUAUAGUCCCUUUUAGAAUUACUAAACGUCCUUUUUUGGGCCGAGAUUUCCAGGAACGCUUUCUCGGGGUUUGUGUGCACGUAUUUCAAACAAUACGGACCUAAAAAUUAGAAUUCAUUCCAUCUUUAUUCCCCUAGAGCCUUCCGGCAGUUCCUAAACCGCUCAAGUCGGAGCACUUUAUCAUUCUUGUUAGUUCUCAGCGAAUUCCCUCGGUAUGAUCAUUCUUUCAUCAGUUUGUUCCCCAUUUCUUCUCUAGCCUGAGCCUAACACACUAUUCUAGCUACAAAUGGGUGUGGCUCGUCACACCCGAUGACCAAACGGAUCUACGGCACCGUUGAAUCUCAAACUUUAACUGCGAAAACUAUUGUUUUUCAUCCUGUAGUCCUUUUUAGAAUUACUAAACGUCCUUUUUUGGGACGAGAUUUCCGGGAACGCUUUCUCGAGGUUUGUGUGCGCGUAUUUCAAACCAUACGAACCUUAAAAUUAGAAUUCAUUCCAUCUUUAUUCCCCUAGAGCCUUCCAGCAGUUCCUAAACCGCUCCAGUCGGAGCACGUUAUCAUUCUUGUUAGUUCUGAGCGAAUUCCCUCGGUAUGAUCAUUCUUUCAUCAGUUUGUUCCUUGUUGCUUCUCUAGCCUGAGCCUGAUACACUAUUCUAGCUAGACAUGGGUGUGGCUCGUGACACCUGAUAACCAAACGGAUCUACAGCACCGUCGAAUCUCAAACUUUAACUACCAAAACUAUUGUUUUCAUUCUGUAGUCCCUUUUAAAUUACUAAACGUCAUUUUUUCGGCCGAGAUUUCCAGGAACGCUUUCUUGGGGUUUGUGUGCAUGUAUUUCAAAUCAUAAGGACCUAAAAAUUAGAAUCCAUUCCAUCUUUAUUUCCCUAGAGCCUUCCAGCAGUUCCUAAACCGCUCCAGUCAGAGCAUGUUAUCAUUAUUGUUAGUUCUGAGUGAAUUCCCUCGGUAUGAUCAUUAUUUCAUCAGUUUGUUCCCCGUUUCUUCUCUAGUCUGAGCCUAACACACUAUUCUAGCUAGACAUGGGUGUGGCUCGUAACACCCGAUGACCAAACGGAUCUACGGCACCGUCGAAUCUCAAACUUUAACUGCGAAAACUAUUGUUUUUCAUCCUUUAGUCCUUUUUAGAAUUACUAAACGUCCUUUUUUGGGACGAGAUUUCCAGGAACGCUUUCUCGGGGUUUGUGUGCGCGUAUUUAAAACCAUACGAACCUUAAAAUUAGAAUUCAUUCCAUCUUUAUUCCCCUAGAGCCUUCCAGUAGUUCCUAAACCGCUCCAGUCGGAGCACCUUAUCAUUCUUGUUAGUUCUGAGCAAAUUCCCUCGGUAUGAUCAUUCUUUCAUCAGUUUGAUCCCCGUUUCUUCUCUAGUCUGAGCCUAGCACACUAUUCUAGCUAUUAAUGGGUGUGGAUCGUAACACCUAAUGACCAAACGGAUCUACGUCACCAUCGAAUCUCAAACUUUAACUACCAAAACUAUUGUUUUUCAUCCUGUAGUCCCUUAAAAUUAGAAUUCAUUCCAUCUUUAUUCCCCUAGAGCCUUCCAGUAGUUCCUAAACCGCUCCAGUCGGAGCACAUUAUCAUUCUUGUUUGUUCUAAGCGAAUUCCCUCAGUAUGAUCAUUCUUUCAUCAUUUUGUUCCCGGUUUCUUCUCUAGUCUGAGUCUAGCACACUAUUCUAGCUAGACAUGGGUGUGGCUCGUAACACCUGAUGACCAAACGGAUCUACGGCAUCGUCGAAUCUCAAACUUUAAUUGCCAAAACUAUUGUUUUUCAUCCUGUAGUCUCUUUUAAAUUUACUAAACGUCCUUUUUUGGGCUGAGAUUUCCUGGAACGCUUUCGUGCGGUUUGUGUGCAAGUAUUUCAAAUCAUACGGACCUAUAAAUUAGAAGUCAUUUCAUCUUUAUUCCCCUAGAGCCUUUGAGCGGUUCCUAAACCGCUCUAGUCGGAGCAUGUUAUCAUUCUUGUUAGUUCUGAGUGAAUUCCCUCGGUAUGAUAAUUCUUUCAUCAGUUUGUUCCCCGUUUCUUCUCUAGUCUGAGCCUAGCACACUACUCUAGCUAGACAUGGGUUUGGCUCGUAACACCUGAUAACCAAACGGGUCUACGACACCAUCGAAUCUCAAACUUUUUUGGGCCGAGAUUUCCAGGAACGCUUUCUCGGGGUUUGUGUGCACGUAUUUCAAAUCAUGCGGACCUAAAAAUUAGAAGUCAUUCCAUAUUUAUUCCCCUAGAGCCUUCCAGCAGUUCCUAAAUCGCUCUAGUCCGAGCAUGUUAUCAUUCUUGUUAGUUCUGAGCGAAUUCCCUCGCUAUGAUCAUUCUUUCAUCAGUUUGUUCUGCGUUUCUUCUCUAGUCUGAGCCUAGCACACUAUUCUAGCUAUUAAUGGGUGUGGAUCGUAACACAUAAUGACCAAACGGAUCUACGGUACCUUCGAAUCUCAAACUUUAACUGCCAAAACUAUUGUUUUUCAUCCUGUAGUCCCUUUUCGAAUUAUUAAACGUCCUCUUUUGGGCCGAGAUUUCUAGGAACGCUUUCUAGGGGUUGGUGUGCAUGUAUUUCAAAUCAUACGGACCUAAAAAUUAGAAGGCAUUUCAUCUUUAUUCCCCUAGAGCCUUCCAACAGUUCCUAAGCCGCUCCAGUCGGAGCAUGUUAUCAUUCUUGUUAGUUCUGAGCGAAUUCCCUCGGUAUGAUCAUUCUUUCAUUAGUUUGUUCCCUAUUUCUUCUCUAGCCUUAGCCUGACACACUAUUCUAGCUAGAAAUGGGUGUGUCUCGUGACACCUAAUGACCAAACGGAUCUACGGCACCGUCGAAUCUCAAACUUUAACUACCAAAACUAUUAUUUUUCAUUCUGUAGUCCCUUUGAAAUUACUAAAUGUCAUUUUUUGGGCCGAGAUUUCCAGGAACGCUUUCUCGGGGUUUGUGUGCAUGUAUUUCAAGUCAUACGGACCUAAAAAUUAAAAUCCAUUCCAUCUUUAUUCCCCUAGAGCCUUCCAGCAGUUCCUAAACCGCUCCAGUCGGAGCAUGUUAUCAUUAUUGUUAGUGCUGAGUGAAUUCCCUCGGUAUGAUCAUUCUUUCAUCAGUUUGGUCCCUGUUUCUUCUCUAGUCUGAGCCUAACACACUAUUCUAGCUAGACAUGGGUGUGGCUCGUAACACCUGAUGACCAAACGGAUCUACGGCACCGUCGAAUCUCAAACUUUAACGACGAAAACUAUUGUUUUUCAUUCUAUAAUCCCUUUUAGAAUUACUAAACGUCCUUUUUUGGGACGAGAUUUCCAGGAACGCUUUCUCCGGGUUUGUGUGUGAGUAUUUCAAACAAUACGGACCUAAAAAUUUGAAUUCAUUCCAUCUUUAUUGCCCUAGAGCCUUCCAGCAGUUCCGAAACCGCUCCAGUCGGAGCACGUUAUCAUUCUUGUUAGUUCUCAGGGAAUUCCCUUGGUAUGAUCAUUCUUUCAUCAGUUUGUUCCCCGUUUCUUCUCUAGCCUGAGCCUAACACACUAUUCUAGCUACACAUGGGUGUGGCUCCUAACACCUGAUGACCAAACGGAUCUAUGGCACCGUCGAAUCUCAAACUUUAACUGCCAAAACUAUUGUUUUUCAUCCUGUAGUCCCUUGUAGAAUUACUAAACGUCCUUUUUUGGGUCUAGAUUUCGAGGAACACUUUGCCGGGGUUUGUGUGCACGUAUUUCAAACCAUACGGACCUAAAAGUUAGAAGUCAUUCAGUCUUUGUUCCCCUAGAGCCUUCCAGCAGUUCCUAAACCGCUCCAGUCGGAGCAUGUGAUCGUUCUUGUUAGUUCUGAGCGAAUUCCCUCGUUAUGAUCAUUCUUUCAUCAGUUUGUUCCCUGUUUCUUCUCUAUCCUGAGCCUGACACACUAUUCUAGCUAGACAUGGGUGUGGCUCGUGACACCUGAUGACCAAACGGAUCUACGGCACCGUCGAAUCUCAAACUUUAACUACCAAAACUAUUGUUUUUCAUUCUGUAGUCCCUUUUAAAUUACUAAACAUCAUUUUUUGGACAGAGAUUUCGAGGAAUGCUUUCUCGGGGUUUGUGUGCAUGUAUUUCAAAUCAUACGGGCCUAAAAAUUAGAAUCCAUUCCAUCUUUAUUCCCCUGGAGCCUUCCAGCAGUUCCUAAACCGCUCCAGUCGGAGCAUGUUAUCAUUAUUGUUAGUUCUGAGUGAAUUCCCUCGGUAUGAUCAUUCUUUCAUCAGUUUGCUCCCCGUUUCUUCUCUAGUCUGAGCCUAACACACUAUUCUAGCUAGACAUGGGUGUGGCUCGUAACACCUGAUGACCAAACGGAUCUACGGCACCCUCGAAUCUCAAACUUUAACUGCCAAAACUAUUGUUUUUCAUCUUGUAGUCCCUUUUAGAAUUACUAAACAUCCUUUUUUGGGCCGAGAUUUCCAGGAACGCUUUCUCGGGGUUUGUGUGCAUGUAUUUCAAACCAAACGUUCCUAAAAAUUAGAAGGCAUUCCAUCUUUAUUCCCCUAGAGCCUUCCAGAAGUUCCUAAACAGCUCUAGUCGGAGCAUGUUAUCAUUCUUGUUAUUUCUGAGUGAAUUCCCUCGGUAUGAUCAUUCUUUCAUCAGCAUCAGUUUGUUUUGCGUUUCUUCUCUAGUCUGAGCCUAGCACACUAUUCUAGCUAUUAAUGGGUGUGGAUCGUAACACCUAAUGACCAAACGGAUCUACGGCACCAUCGAAUCUCAAACUUUAACUGCCAAAACUAUUGUUUUUCAUCCUGUAGUCCCUUUCCGAAUUAUUAAACGUUCUUUUUUGGGCCGAGAUUUCC